GGUGAAAAGUACCCCGGAAGGGGAGUGAAAGAGAACUUGAAACCGUGUGCUUACAAGUAGUCAGAGCCCGUUAAUGGGUGAUGGCGUGCCUUUUGUAGAAUGAACCGGCGAGUUACGAUCUGAUGCAAGGUUAAGCAGAAAAUGUGGAGCCGUAGCGAAAGCGAGUCUGAAUAGGGCGAAUGAGUAUUUGGUCGUAGACCCGAAACCAGGUGAUCUACCCUUGGUCAGGUUGAAGUUCAGGUAACACUGAAUGGAGGACCGAACCGACUUACGUUGAAAAGUGAGCGGAUGAACUGAGGGUAGCGGAGAAAUUCCAAUCGAACUUGGAGAUAGCUGGUUCUCUCCGAAAUAGCUUUAGGGCUAGCCUCAAGUGAUGAUUAUUGGAGGUAGAGCACUGUUUGGACGAGGGGCCCCUCUCGGGUUACCGAAUUCAGACAAACUCCGAAUGCCAAAUAAUUUAACUUGGGAGUCAGAAUGUGGGUGAUAAGGUCCAUAUUCGAAAGGGAAACAGCCCAGACCACCAGCUAAGGUCCCAAAAUAUAUGUUAAGUGGAAAAGGAUGUGGCGUUGCCCAGACAACUAGGAUGUUGGCUUAGAAGCAGCCAUCAUUUAAAGAGUGCGUAAUAGCUCACUAGUCGAGUGACACUGCGCCGAAAAUGUACCGGGGCUAAACAUAUUACCGAAGCUGUGGAUUGUCCUUUGGACAAUGGUAGGAGAGCGUUCUAAGGGCGUUGAAGCAUGAUCGCAAGGACAUGUGGAGCGCUUAGAAGUGAGAAUGCCGGUGUGAGUAGCGAAAGACGGGUGAGAAUCCCGUCCACCGAUUGACUAAGGUUUCCAGAGGAAGGCUCGUCCGCUCUGGGUUAGUCGGGUCCUAAGCUGAGGCCGACAGGCGUAGGCGAUGGAUAACAGGUUGAUAUUCCUGUACCACCAUUAUUCGUUUUAAGCGAUGGGGGGACGCAGUAGGAUAGGCGAAGCGUGCUGUUGGAGUGCACGUCCAAGCAGUGAGAUUGA
rnacentral:rRNA from 1 species